CAGUAGCCGCGGUAAUACGUAGGGUGCGAGCGUUAAUCGGAAUUACCGGGCGUAAAGCGUGCGCAGGCGGUUGUGUAAGACAGGUGUGAAAUCCCCGGGCUUAACCUGGGAACUGCGCUUGUGACUGCACAGCUAGAGUAUGGCAGAGGGGGGUGGAAUUCCACGUGUAGCAGUGAAAUGCGUAGAGAUGUGGAGGAACACCGAUGGCGAAGGCAGCCCCCUGGGCCAAUACUGACGCUCAUGCACGAAAGCGUGGGGGGCAAACAGGAUUAGAUACCCCUGUAGUCCCUGUCUCUUAUAC
rnacentral:rRNA from 1 species